rnacentral:rRNA from 1 species
UGGGGAAUAUUGCACAAUGGGCGCAAGCCUGAUGCAGCCAUGCCGCGUGUAUGAAGAAGGCCUUCGGGUUGUAAAGUACUUUCAGUCGGGAGAAAGGUGGUAAGGUUAAUAACCUUAUCAAUUGACGUUACCGACAGAAGAAGCACCGGCUAACUCCGUGCCAGCAGCCGCGGUAAUACGGAGGGUGCAAGCGUUAAUCGGAAUUACUGGGCGUAAAGCGCACGCAGGCGGUUGAUUGAGUCAGAUGUGAAAUCCCCGGGCUUAACCCGGGAAUUGCAUCUGAUACUGGUCAGCUAGAGUCUUGUAGAGGGGGGUAGAAUUCCAUGUGUAGCGGUGAAAUGCGUAGAGAUGUGGAGGAAUACCGGUGGCGAAGGCGGCCCCCUGGACAAAGACUGACGCUCAGGUGCGAAAGCGUGGGGAGCAAACAGG